rnacentral:rRNA from 1 species
UAAACGAAAGUUCAACUAAGCUAUACCGACCACGGGUUGGUCAACUUCGUGCCAGCCACCGCGGUCAUACGAUUAACCCUAGUUAAUAGAGCCCGGCGUAAAGAGUGUUUUAGAUCGCCCCCCCCCCCCAUAAAGCUAAACUCCAUCCAAGUCGUAAAAAACUCUGGCUGAUGUAAAAUAAACUACGAAAGUGGCUUUAAUACCUCUGAACACACAAUAGCUAAGGCCCAAACUGGGAUUAGAUACCCCACUAUGCUUAGCCCUAAACUUCAACAGUCAAAUCAACAAGACUGCUCGCCAGAACACUACGAGCAACAGCUUAAAACUCAAAGGACCUGGCGGUGCUUCAUACCCUCCUAGAGGAGCCUGUCCUAUAAUCGAUAAACCCCGUUCAACCUCACCAUCUCUUGCUCAGCCUAUAUACCGCCAUCUUCAGCAAACCCUGACAAAGGCUAUUAAGUAAGCGCAAACAUCCACGUAAAGACGUUAGGUCAAGGUGUAGCCCAUGAGAUGGGAAGAGAUGGGCUACAUUUUCUACUUCAGAAAACCACGAUAACCCCCAUGAAACUUGAGUGGUCGAAGGAGGAUUUAGCAGUAAAUUAAGAAUAGAGUGCUUAAUUGAACAAGGCCCUGAAGCGCGUACACACCGCCCGUCACCCUCCUCAAGUAUAUUUCAAGGAAUCUCUAACUAAACACUCCACGCAUCUAUAUAGAGGAGAUAAGUCGUAACAUGGUAAGUGUACUGGAAGGUGCACUUGGACAAAC